UAGUCCAGGAAAAAAGCAUUAAUGCAAGACCGUACCCGAAACCGACACAGGUGGACGAGUCGAGUAGACUCAGGCGUUGAGUGAACCAUAUUGAAGGAACUCGGCAAAAUAAUCCCGUAACUUAGGAAGAAGGGAUACCGAAAGGUGACACAAAAAUGGGGGUGACGACUUUUUACUAAAAAAUUAGGACUCUGCAAAAUGGUAACAUGCUGUAUAGGGUCUGACGUCUGCCCGGUGCUAGAAGUCUAAAAGGCGCAUUGCAAGAUGCAAAUGGAAAGCCUAGUAAACGGCGGUUGUAACAAUAACAAUCAUAAAGUAGCGAAAUUCAUUGCCAGCUAAUUCCUGGCCUGCAUGAAAGACGUAACGAUUGCCCCACUGUCUCCAGUAUGGACUCAGUGAAAUUGAAUUCUCCGUGCAGAUGCGGAGUACGUGCCCCAAGACGAGAAGACCCUGUGCAUCUUUACUGUACAUUUGCAUUGACAAAACGAUGAGCAUGCGUAGGAUAGGUGGGAGUACAUACAUCCUUGAAAUACCACCCUUGCCAUGGGUUUUGUCUUACACCAAAUUUGGUGCACAAUGCAUGUGAGGCAGUUUGACUGGGGCGGUCGCCUCCUAAAAGGUAACGGAGGCGUGCGAAGGUAAACUCAAUGCAAGACGGAAACUUGCUGAAGAGCGUAAUGGUAUAUGUUUGCCUGACUGUAAGAUGUACACAUCAAACAGAGACGAAAGUCGGCCAUAAUGAUCCACAAGUGCCGUGUGGAAGGGCUUGUGCUUAACGAAUCAAAGAUACGCCAGGGAUAACAGGCUGAUAAUUCCCAAGAGUCCUUAUCGACGGAAUUGUUUGGCACCUCGAUGUUGACUGAUCAUAUCCUGGGGCUGAAGAAGGUCCCAAGGGUUCGGCUGUUCGCCGAAUAAAAUGGUACCUGAGUUGAGUUUAGAACGUCGUGAGACAGUUUGGAUUCUACCUGGGGUGCGCGUAAAAGAAUUGUGAAAACCACGUCCUUGUACGAGAGGACCGGACGUGUACAACCACUGGUCGAGUAAUUGUUUUGCCGAAAGCAUUGUUACCAGGCUACGUUGUGAAAGGAAAAGAACUGAAAGCAUCUCAAGUUCGAAACUUUUUUCGAGACAAAUUCUUUAAGAUGUCGUGAAAGACUAUCACGUUAAUAGUC
rnacentral:rRNA from 1 species